CUGCGAUGAUGAGUGAAAGAAUGUAUCUUGACUUGGUAUUGUUGCUUUUUUGGCAUCAUUGACCAAGGUCUGAUAGAGUUUAAUCUUCUCUCUGAGCUG